rnacentral:rRNA from 1 species
UACGUAGGGUGCAAGCGUUGUCCGGAAUUAUUGGGCGUAAAGAGCUCGUAGGCGGCUUGUCACGUCGACUGUGAAAACCCGGGGCUCAACUCCGGGCCUGCAGUCGAUACGGGCAGGCUCGAGUUCGGUAGGGGAGACUGGAAUUCCUGGUGUAGCGGUGAAAUGCGCAGAUAUCAGGAGGAACACCGGUGGCGAAGGCGGGUCUCUGGGCCGAUACUGACGCUGAGGAGCGAAAGCGUGGGGAGCGAACAGG